rnacentral:tRNA from 1 species
UCCCUGGUGGUCCAGUGGUUAAGACUCUGAGCUUCCACUGCAGAGACCUCAGGUUGGAUUCCUGGUCAGAGAA